GCCCAGACUCCUACGGGAGGCAGCAGUGAGGAAUAUUGGUCAAUGGGCGCGAGCCUGAACCAGCCAAGUCGCGUGAGGGAUGACGGCCCUACGGGUUGUAAACCUCUUUUGUCGGGGAGCAAAUUCCGCCACGUGUGGCGGAGUCGAGAGUACCCGAAGAAAAAGCAUCGGCUAACUCCGUGCCAGCAGCCGCGGUAAUACGGAGGAUGCGAGCGUUAUCCGGAUUCAUUGGGUGUAAAGGGUGCGUAGACGGGAAUUUAAGUUAGUUGUGAAAUCCCUCGGCUCAACUGAGGAACUGCAACUAAAACUGGAUUUCUUGAGUGCUGGAGAGGAAAGCGGAAUUCCUAGUGUAGCGGUGAAAUGCGUAGAUAUUAGGAGGAACACCAGUGGCGAAGGCGGCUUACUGGACUGUAACUGACGUUGAGGCUCGAAAGCGUGGGGAGCAAACAGGAUUAGAUACCCCUGUA
rnacentral:rRNA from 1 species